rnacentral:lncRNA from 1 species
CAGAUUGAUUCUGUUUUGGAUCUUGCACGGUGCACCAUCGUGUCCGAGCUCUCCAACAAGGAUUUUGACUCCUAUGUCCUCUCUGAGUCGAGCCUGUUUAUCUAUCCUCUGAAGAUUGUCAUCAAAACAUGUGGGACUACCAAGCUCCUGCUCACCAUUCCAAGGAUUAUUGAGCUUGCUGAAGAGCUGUCUAUGCCGCUUGCUGCUGUGAAGUACUCCCGUGGGAUGUUCAUCUUCCCCGGUGCACAGCCAGCCCCCCACAGGAGCUUCUCUGAGGAGGUUGCUGCCCUUAACCGCUACUUUGGUGGCCUGAAGUCUGGUGGUAAUGCUUAUGUGAUUGGAGAUCCUGCAAGACCUGGACAGAAGUGGCACAUCUACUAUGCCACCGAGUACCCAGAGCAACCCAUGGUUAACCUUGAGAUGUGCAUGACUGGUCUGGACAAGAAGAAAGCUUCAGUCUUUUUCAAGACUUCUGCUGAUGGCCACACAACGUGUGCCAAAGAAAUGACCAAGCUCUCUGGUAUCUCUGAAAUUAUUCCUGAGAUGGAGAUCUGUGAUUUUGACUUUGAACCCUGCGGCUACUCCAUGAACGCUAUCCAUGGCUCUGCUUUCUCCACCAUUCAUGUGACGCCUGAGGAUGGUUUCAGCUAUGCCAGCUAUGAAGUUAUGGGCUUCGACGCCACUGCACUUGCCUACGGCGACCUCGUGAAGAGGGUCCUCAGGUGCUUUGGCCCUUCGGAGUUCUCUGUUGCUGUGACUAUCUUUGGUGGGCGUGGCCAAGCCGCGACAUGGGGCAUGAAGCUUGAUGCUGAGGUUUACGACUGCAACAACAUGGUAGAGCAGGAGCUGCCCGGUGGUGUGCUUAUCUACCAGAGCUUUUCUGUUACUGAAGAUGCUAUUGUUGGCUCGCCCAAAUCUGUUCUUCAUUGCUUCGAGGGUGAGAACCUGGAGAAUGCUGCUCCUGUGAAGGACGGCAAACUGGCUAAUCUUCUCUGCUGGGAGGAAGAGGAUGCCAUGGAGGAGAAGGACGGCGUGCUUGCUGAGUAAGACUGGGGAAGGUGUCGAUUUGCUGCUGAGUUAUUUUUUUUUCUAAAUGUUGCGAUUGUCGUUUGGUUAUUGUGUGAAGCAGCCAAGCCAGGCUAUUUAUUAUGAAAAUGAUCGAUUGUAAGCAUGGGUUCUGAUGUGCCACAUGCUAAUGAUCAAUCUGAAUAAGUAUACCGCUCUAGGUGGUCAGCUGCGUCUACCACAAUGAGCAUACGUAUGGAGAAAUGUCUGUCAAAGCAAUUUAUGA